AAUCAGAAGUUAUACCUACAGCUACAGAGUUGACACCUUCAUCUUGAGCUGGAGCAUUGUCAUCCUCAGAGGCUGCAAAAUUGCCAGUGUCACCACCCUCGAAGGCUGUAGAAUUGCCUUCUCCAGAGGAAUGAGGAUGAGAUUAAGAGUAAAUCAAAAGUUAUACCUGUAGCUAUAGAGUUGACACCUUCAUCUUGAGCUGGAGCAUUGCCACCAUCAAAGGCUGCAGAAUUGCCAGUAUCACCACCCUCGAUGGUUGCAGAGUUACCUUCUCCAGUGAGCUGGAGGUAGGAUAACUAGCCAGGGACGAGCAUGCUUGGGGAGCUCACCCGCUGAUCACGAUUGGAGAGCUUAGAUCAGGCACAAAUCUGCUUCUGGUGGCCAGCGCAAGGGAGGUACAUGGAGCAAAUCACAUGCGAGUAGAUGGGGAUGCGGUACAUGGAGCAACUCACAUGCGAGUAGAUGGGGAUGCGGAAGUGGAUCGCACGUCGCCCCGAUGGCUUACUGCCGCCGCGCCGGCGGCGAGGUCCUUCGGCUCCGCACGAAGGAGAUUUUUGAAUUUAUUG